rnacentral:rRNA from 1 species
UACGGGGGGGGGCAAGCGUUGUUCGGAAUUACUGGGCGUAAAGGGCGCGUAGGCGGUUGGAUAAGUCAGCUGUGAAAACCACGGGCUUAACUCGUGGCCUGCAGUUGAGACUGUCUGGCUUGAGUGUGGGAGAGGAGAGUGGAAUUCCUGGUGUAGCGGUGAAAUGCGUAGAUAUCAGGAGAACACCGGUGGCGAAGGCGGUCUCUCGUGGAC